CCUACGGGUGGCAGCAGUGGGGAAUAUUGCACAAUGGGGGAAACCCUGAUGCAGCGACGCCGCGUGAGUGAAGAAGUAUUUCGGUAUGUAAAGCUCUAUCCGCAGGGAAGAAAAUGACGGUACCUGAUUAAGAAGCCCCGGCUAACUACGUGCCAGCAGCCGCGGUAAUACGUAGGGGGCAAGCGUUAUCCGGAUUUACUGGGUGUAAAGGGAGCGUAGACGGCAGAACAAGUCUGGAGUGAAAUGCCGGGGCUUAACCCCGGAACUGCUUUGGAAACUGUGCAGCUUGAGUGCAGGAGAGGUAAGUGGAAUUCCGAGUGUAGCGGUGAAAUGCGUAGAUAUUAGGAGGAACACCAGUGGCGAAGGCGGAUUACUGGACUGUAACUGACGUUGAGGCGCGAAAGCGUGGGGAGCAAACAGGAUUAGAUACCCCUGUAGUC
rnacentral:rRNA from 1 species